rnacentral:sRNA from 1 species
AGCAGAGCACUGGGUGAGGUCGAGUGACAGGUCGAGUAACAGACAUAAAGUAUAACAGGGAUACUCGACUGCACAGUUUGUUGCCAGACCUGGGGGUCGAGUGAUGUGAUCAAGUGGUGGUGUCUUCUACUCGACCUGAGGGUCGAGUGGUCUCUUGAGAUCCUGAAGCUCCUACUCGACCUCUGGGUCGAGUGGUUUGUCAUGAUCAGGUCCGCUUCUUCCAGUUAGCUCGUCGACGGCUCCAAAUCACCUGAAAACAACACAAAUACGCAACAUGCAUGCAAAACUAUCCUAAACAUGCAAAGUGAUGACAAAUGAUGUGAAAUGGUAUAAAACAGUGAUGAUAUGAUGCUAAAAUGAUGACAAAUGGAUGCUCAAAACAUGCAAAAUACACACUUAUCAAAGCCCGUUAUGAAGAUAUGCGUCCUGGUUCAGCUACUGAUUUUGUGCCACCGUCUUAUCAACCAAGGGAUACUCAGAGCAAGGCCUUGGUUAUUCACAGUGGAAGCCGUGACCCAGUACCUCCAACUAUUGAGUCUCUAAGUGAGUAGUUUUGGUGAACUUUUGUGUAGUGAUGCUUUCACAAUAGUUCUUACAUGUUUGGUUACAUAUUUUUGUAGGUGAUGGCAGCGAUGAGUCUGAUGAAGAGGAUAAGAAGAAGAAGAAGAAGAAGAAGCAGAUAUCGAAGAAGAAGAGAAAGCAUGUUGGUCCUACUCUGGAAACUGGGAAAAAACGUGGAAGGAAACCUUCCAAGUUUAAGGGGGAAAAGUUUACAGCUGAGGGGAAGCAAACGAGGAAGAGACAGAAGAAUUAGGACUUUGACUUUUCUUUCUUGCUUAUGUGUGUGUGUGGACUUGUAGGUGUUUGGAGAAAUAGGACUUUGACUUUCUUUUUGUGUAUUUGGGAAUGUUAUGCGUUUUCUUUUGAUGUUGAACAUUGUAGUUUAUGUGUAGAGGACAAACUUAUUUUAUGAAAUGGUUUAUGUGUUUUAGGAUUUAUU